rnacentral:rRNA from 1 species
GUAUUGGCCUACCGUGGCUAUGACGGGUAACGGGGAAUUAGGGUUCGAUUCCGGAGAGGGAGCCUGAGAAACGGCUACCACAUCUAAGGAAGGCAGCAGGCGCGCAAAUUACCCAAUCCUAAUACAGGGAGGUAGUGACAAGAAAUAACAAUACAGGGCCUAACGGUCUUGUAAUUGGAAUGAGUUAAGUAUAAACCCCUUUACAAGUAUCAAUUGGAGGGCAAGUCUGGUGCCAGCAGCCGCGGUAAUUCCAGCUCCAAUAGCGUAUAUUAAAGUUGUUGCAGUUAAAAAGCUCGUAGUUGGAUUUCUGUUAAUUCUUAUAUUUUAUACUACGGUAUUUAUAUAACAUUAACAUAAUUCAUAUUACUUUUUUAGUAUAUGAAAUUUUACUUUGAGAAAAUUAGAGUGCUUAAAGCAGGCAUUUGCCUUGAAUACUCCAGCAUGGAAUAAUAUUUAAGAUUUUUAUCUUUCUUAUUGGUUCUAAGAUAAAAAUAAUGAUUAAUAGGGACAGUUGGGGGCAUUUGUAUUUAA